rnacentral:rRNA from 1 species
UACGUAGGCAGCGAGCGUUGUUCGGAAUUACUGGGCGUAAAGAGUGUGUAGGCGGUGCUCUAAGUUCGGUGUGUAAUCUCCUGGCUUAACUGGGAGGGUGCGCCGAAAACUGGAGUGCUCGAGCGUGGGAGAGGAAAGCGGAAUUCCUGGUGUAGCGGUGAAAUGCGUAGAUAUCAGGAGGAACACCUGCGGUGUAGACGGCUUUCUGGACCAUUGCUGACGCUGAGACACGAAAGCGUGGGUAGCAAACAGG